rnacentral:misc_RNA from 1 species
AUUAGGCUUAAUUCAUUAAUAUUUAUAUUCUCUGUUCAUCCCGACAGAAUAUUUGAAUAAAAACAUAUUGUUUCAAACUCUUUCAUUUUUGUUUGGCUGAUUAUUACUACAACUUUACAUUUUCGCCAUGUCUAGCAUAGGCGGUAAAUUACAAAAAUCUUUGCACAAGAUUCGUGCUGGAGCUUUAGGGAUUCCUUUACCAAAACAUAUUCAGGAAGUAUCUAUUCAAUAUUCUUUAGACAGCCGUUUGGGACAUAUGGGUGCUAAGUAAGUUUUGU